rnacentral:rRNA from 1 species
UACGUAGGGAGCGAGCGUUAUCCGGAAUUAUUGGGCGUAAAGGGUGCGUAGAUGGUUGAUAUAAGUCUUUUGUAAAAAUGCUAGGCUCAACCUAGUAGGGCAAAAGAUACUGAUGAACUAGAGUACGGCAGAGGCAAGUGGAACUACAUGUGUAGCGGUAAAAUGCGUAAAUAUAUGUAAGAACACCGGUGGCGAAGGCGGCCUGCUGGGCUUUUACUGACGCUGAGGCUCGAAAGCGUGGGUAUCAAACAGG